rnacentral:rRNA from 1 species
GACGAACCGAGCGAACGUUGUUCGGAAUAACUGGGCUUAAAGGGCGCGUAGGCGGGCCGCCAAGUUCGAGGUGAAAUCCUCCGGCUCAACCGGAGAACUGCCUCGAAUACUGGAGGCCUCGAGGCGGGUAGGGGCACGCGGAACUGUGGGUGGAGCGGUGAAAUGCGUUGAUAUCCAACAGGAACUCCGGUGGCGAAGGCGGCGUGCUGGACCCGGAUCUGACGCUGAGGCGCGAAAGCCAGGGGAGCAAACGGG